UACGGAGGGUGCAAGCGUUAUCCGGAUUCACUGGGUUUAAAGGGCGCGUAGGCGGCCUGGCAAGUGGAAGGUGAAAUCCCUCGGCUUAACCGAGGAACUGCCCUCCAAACUGCUUGGCUUGAGACCGGGAGAGGUGAGUGGAAUUCCCAGUGUAGCGGUGAAAUGCGUAGAUAUUGGGAGGAACACCAGUGGCGAAGGCGGCUCACUGGACCGGAACUGACGCUGAGGCGCGAAAGCGUGGGGAGCAAACAGG
rnacentral:rRNA from 1 species